rnacentral:rRNA from 1 species
GACGAACGCUGGCGGCGUGCUUAACACAUGCAAGUCGAACGAUGAAGCCGGAGCUUGCUCUGGUGAAUUAGUGGCGAACGGGUGAGUAACACGUGAGUAACCUGCCCUUGACUCUGGGAUAACUGCUAGAAAUGGUAGCUAAUACCGGAUACGACCCUCGGAGGCAUCUCCAGGGGGUGGAAAGAAUUUCGGUGAAGGAUGGACUCGCGGCCUAUCAGCUAGUUGGUGAGGUAACGGCUCACCAAGGCGACGACGGGUAGCCGGCCUGAGAGGGGGGCCGGCACCACAGGGACUUAGACACGGCCCACACUCCUAGGGGAGGCAGCAGUGGGGAAUAUUGCACAAUGGGCGCAAGCCUGAUGCAGCAACGCCGCGUGAGGGAUGACGGCCUUCGGGUUGUAAACCUCUUUUAGUAGGGAAGAAGCGAAAGUGACGGUACCUGCAGAAAAAGCACCGGCUAACUACGUGCCAGCAGCCGCCGUAA